AUGAAGCAUACCAGGUUUACUUCCUGAUUCUAUCAUAUGUAGAAGUAGUGGGUAAACUAAUAUGUUCUAUGCCAAUUAUAAAAGGGAUGGAAGUAUAAGAUAUAACUAGAAGUUAAAACGUCCAUCUUUGCCGAUGGUUAUGGGACAUUUUAUGUGCUUGUACUGACUGUUAGUCAGAUAGUUGGGGGGCUAUUGGGAUUAGGUAAAAUGACAGUAGUGCGUGUACUGUUUUUGUGGUUCAAUCUAAUAGAAAUAAACGUCUUCUCUA
rnacentral:misc_RNA from 1 species